AGAAAUAUGUUAUCCACUUUGAAAAAAAAGAGAUCUUGAACAUUUUGAUAUAAGUCAUAUAUUAUCCGUUAUGACGGUUGACUUUAAACCUUUAAUAAAUGAGGGGGAAAAGAAAAAAAAGAUUAAGAAUGAGUUAGUGAAAAAUAUUUAAAGAUAAAAUUUUAAUUUUUAAUUUUUUUAGAAUUAUUUUUAAUAAUUUAUUGUGUGCGCGUACACAUACACAUAUAUAGGAAUGCAUGAUUUUUGAAAAUUUAAUGAUGCAAUCAUAUACGUGUCCCUCAACAAAAUAUAUAUAAUAUCAAUUACUUUUUUAUUAAUGGGCCUAAUGCACAGGCCCAAUUGGCCUUGCAAUAAACACAACAUUGGGUUCAUCAAGAGGAUAACUGAAAUCCCUCUUUAACCUUGUUCCAUUGCAAAAGAAAAGAUUUAGAUGCGAUAAAUGAGUACUGCAAAUGUUGAUCAUUAGAUAAUAUUGGAAUGAUUAACAUUAUGAAAAAAUGUGCAUGACUUUUUUUAAGAGUGGUAACGUGACUUUAAUAAGUUUUAAGCUUGAUUAUUUGUAUAUAAUUGUAUGACUCGAAUGUUUAAUUUUUAUUUCUCAUAAUAAAAAAAAGUUUAUAUGUACAUAUAUGAUGAAAAGAGAUUAAUUUACUCUAAUUUUUUUUAUAAGAUUUCUCACUUCAACUACUCUUUGUAUACAUUAAAAUUUACUAAUCUAACUAUUAAAUAUUUUGAUAUUAAUUCAACAAUCAUACACACUAAAUUUUAGAUAAAUCUAACAUUUAUAGUUGUAUAAUUAAAUAUCUUGAUAUUGAUAAUUUAAUGAUCAUGAUUCAUGCACACUUAUUUUUAAUUAUUUAAUCAGACUUUUAUAGUUGCAUAAUCUUACAGUCAAUAUUUGGUUAUAUAUAUAUAUAUAUAUAUAUAUAUAUAUAUAUAUAUAUAUAUAUAAAAUAUAUUACAUGUUAAAUUAAAUUUAUUUAACAAAGUAUCAAACAAUUUUAAAAAUGUAAUAAAAUUCCUAGACUUGUUCUACUCAACCAAAACUAUAAAUUUAACAUUGGAUCAAGAAAAUUUAAUAUGUACAUAAAGUUUUUAAAGAGAAUAAUUUUACUAAGAGAGUAAUUUGAUACGUACCUUCUUUGUAUAUAUAAAAUCAAUUAUGGUGGAAACAGCUAACGACACAUCCAUGCACUUGUUAUACAAGGUUGCCGUUUGCUACAACCUUUUGGAUCAUGUCGUGGGUGAUAGAGAAAUGCCAUAAACCAGAGUACGCAAGAAAAAUGGAAGAGAGAGAUAAGAAAGUGAUGAGAUUUAAGAUAGAGUGUAAGUUAUGAUCAACAAUAAAGGUGGGCUAGGGUUG
rnacentral:lncRNA from 1 species